GCACCAGCGAUAAGCGAAAAACAAACUACAUCAAAGACCCAAGGGACCUUGUCUCAACAAGGAAGGAUACUCCUAUCAAAAAAUCCUCAGUCACUAAGAGGAAACUCAACAUAGGCCGAGGAGAAAUCGACUUCGUCAAAGUAACGAGAAGUUCGGAUCCCCAAUCUCGAGCAUCGGGAGGAAGCAUCAAACUCAAAUGGUCUCGAAAAGACCUACGGUCAUGAACAAAAAAAGCAAAUCAACACGGCGGC
rnacentral:lncRNA from 1 species